UACCAGCACCCCGAGUGGUCGGGACGUUUUAUUGGGCCUAAAGCAUCCGUAGCCGGUUCUACAAGUCUUCCGUUAAAUCCAACUGCUUAACAGGUGGGCUGCGGAAGAUACUAUAGAGCUAGGAGGCGGGAGAGGCAAGCGGUACUCGAUGGGUAGGGGUAAAAUCCGUUGAUCCAUUGAAGACCACCAGUGGCGAAGGCGGCUUACUGGUCCGGUACUGACGCUGAGGCUCGAAAGCGUGGGGAUCAAACAGG
rnacentral:rRNA from 1 species